CCUACGGGUGGCAGCAGUGGGGAAUAUUGGACAAUGGGCGAAAGCCUGAUCCAGCCAUGCCGCGUGUGUGAAGAAGGCCUUCGGGUUGUAAAGCACUUUCAGUGGGGAAGAAAGCCUUGGGGCUAAUACCCUCGAGGAAGGACAUCACCCACAGAAGAAGCACCGGCUAACUCCGUGCCAGCAGCCGCGGUAAUACGGAGGGGUGCGAGCGUUAAUCGGAAUUACUGGGCGUAAAGCGCGCGUAGGCGGUCUGAUAAGCCGGUUGUGAAAGCCCCGGGCUCAACCUGGGAACGGCAUCCGGAACUGUCAGGCUAGAGUGCAGGAGAGGAAGGUAGAAUUCCCGGUGUAGCGGUGAAAUGCGUAGAGAUCGGGAGGAAUACCAGUGGCGAAGGCGGCCUUCUGGACUGACACUGACGCUGAGGUGCGAAAGCGUGGGUAGCAAACAGGAUUAGAUACCCCAGUAGUC
rnacentral:rRNA from 1 species